rnacentral:lncRNA from 10 species
CUGGGACACGGAUGGGGCAGCCCUGCUGGCACGUGCAUCAUCUGGCUGGGAGACCAUCAGGAAAGACAGCACGAGAAUCAACUUGCACAAGAAUCCCUGUGGGGAAACUGAGGCCCAGAGAAGAGAAAUGACUUGCCUAAGGCCACAGACUUCAGUGGGAGGAGCCAACAGUCUUAUGCUUUGCCAGCCCUGGUCCUGAAACCCCCAGCUGUGAUCUCGGGUCAGCUGCCCCACCUCCUGGGGCCUCAGUUUCCUCAUCUGUAGGGGGGGUGAUCAUUUAACUGA